rnacentral:rRNA from 1 species
UACAGAGGUCUCAAGCGUUGUUCGGAUUCAUUGGGCGUAAAGGGUGUGUAGGUGGCGCGCUAAGCCGGGUGUGAAAUUUCGGAGCUUAACUCCGAAACUGCAUUCGAUACUGGCGUGCUUGAGGACUGGAGAGGAGACUGGAAUUCAUGGUGUAGCAGUGAAAUGCGUAGAGAUCAUGAGGAAGACCAGUGGCGAAGGCGGGUCUCUGGACAGUUCCUGACACUGAGACACGAAGGCCAGGGGAGCAAACGGG